rnacentral:rRNA from 1 species
AUGCGUUCAACAAAAUUAAGUGGUUCAUUCUUGAUCUUCAGCACUUCGACUCUGCCGAGAGAGCAAAUCAGGCCGCCAACAGUCGCCAGAAAAAGAAAACUAGAAGGGAAGAAAGAAGAAGGUAAGAGGAUGCCUAGAGGUCUUUUGUCCUUCUUCCUGCAACUUCUUCAUGGCGUCGGUCAAUGUCAACGGAGCCGCCACCGCCGCCAUGGUGUUGGCGCACUUCGCCGCCAUAACCGCAACGCCUGUGAUCUUCACCGAUUCGGAGGUCGUCGGAACGGUUUCCGUCUCUAUGGAGGGCGUUGUUGUGGACCACAUCUUGGGCAUGCCGCCCAAGGACCUGGUGCUCGCAACGGCGCCGGGCCUUCUCGUGCUGAUAAAGUGUAA